GGAGGAAUGGAUCUUGGCCUUUCCUGUGCCGAUCCAUAUCAGUUCGGACAUCCGAAUCUAGAGGCACUUUUACUCUUCGAAAGUAGUGACCGCAGAUCUUUAUUAUUUAUAUUGGAGGAGACCAUUCAGGCAGAUAGAUGCAAGGUGGAUUUGGAGGAUGGGGGUGCAUUCAUAGGUGAGCCUCUUUCUAUGGAAGGUGGCCU
rnacentral:lncRNA from 1 species